GCCUUCAAAAGCAGCUACUGUGAAUGUGCUAACCUCACGGAUUCUCUGAACUCUCCACAAUCUCAAAGAGCUUGGGUCUCCCAAGUUCAUCCUCGGUUGCACCUACAAGUCCCUAAACAGAGUGGCAAGAGCACAUAGUAGAAGGCUGAGAAGAAAUAAUGAGUUCUUGUGCCACAUGGGAUUUGCCAGUUUCAAAAUUCAACAGAGGACUAAAAUGGCUGUAGCAUUCACUGGGAUCUUUAUACUUGGAUCACGAGAUGAUGGAUCUGGCAUACACCACUCAGAAGCCCCUUUCAGGACCAAGGAUAGCAUUAAAAAUUUACUGUCAAGUGAAGAGACAGCUCAAAAGUAUGGAGCCAAGAAACAAAGGAAUAAAAAGUAUUACAGAACUGUGUAAGGGAAAUAAGUAAUAAAAUAUGUAAUUUUCUAGAAAAAAAUAUCUUUGAAAAUAUUAACAUGUAAUGUUAGGUUAUUCAAUAAAGAGCACCAGGUUGACUGGCUAAUCAAAAAAUAAUCAUUUUUCUCUCCAUCAUACUGUACCUCAAAAUAUAUUUUACAUAGAUUAAGAGUGUUGUAAAAAAAAAUAAUAAUAACACCCAAGAAUAUAG